ACUUAAAUAGCUUAUAUGAAGAGUAUAACAUUGAAGAUGUUAAGGAGAUAUAAUAUCUUUAGGUA
rnacentral:tRNA from 1 species